UUGGCAUCCCAUAUCCAGCAUGCAUACUUCCUGAAGAUUGAUGGGUAGGAGGUGGAGUAAAUAUUGGAGACGCAUCUAAAGAACGCUUUGGAAACACUACUCCCGUUCGCUGCCAUUUAUAAAGUCCAAGAGAGUGUGAUGGAUAUGAAAUAAAGGUCAUUCAAUUAUUAAUUAAAUGUACCUUUGGCAGUUGGCCUUACAUAUAUCAAUGCCAUCUACAUUUGAAAUGUAAAUUGAUUGCAUCGAAGGGAAUAAUAAUAGGUUUAGCAAGGGGAACAAUUCAUGCUAAGCUUUGUAAAAGUUAUAUAACCCAACCAUGAAAUAGAAGAGAGGAAAUACCCCCAAAAUGUCAAGUUAAUAUCAAUUUUCAGUCUAGCAUUCAGCUCUGCAUGUACAACUAUAACGAGGCAUGAUAAGACUUUUUCAAGAAACUCUGUUGAUAUAGUUACCUUCAAUUCCUCAUAUGCCCAAUAGUACUGAGGAUAUUUUCCACCAGGCCCGCCAAAUGCCUCUUGCCAUGAGUCCAGCAAUAUUAAAAUUUUAUCCCUCACUUGCAUAUGUGCCUAAAUUAUCAUCAAAUGAAUUUCAAAUUAGACAAGAUUAACCACAGUUAAACAGCAUUAAUUCAAGUUGCCUCCAAGAUGUUGAUUGAUUGGAUAUAUCAUCCUACAUCCAAAUAGCAUCAAUACUAAGAUUGUUUGGAUAGGUGUACAUCAUCUAUGUUUUGGUCGAUCAAUUAAUCCAAAGAGCAAAACCUGAACAAUAGGAGCUUUUUACUUUGCUAUGAAAUACGACCAGAAAUAUUAAUAUUUGAGCCAAUAAGACAAGAAAGAGAAGUGAAUUAAGUUGAUGUCAAAUUAUUUGGCAACUGAAUCAAACUACAUCAUAUUGAUGGAUCAAUUUUACUAAUAGACCACUAGUUCAUAGCAAUAAAUACACACUCACCAAGGGUCAAUAAUGCACAAGUGAAAUCACAUAUGCAACUUAAAUAAGAAUGAUUCUCAAGUUUCU
rnacentral:lncRNA from 1 species